rnacentral:rRNA from 1 species
GACGAACGCUGGCGGCGUGCUUAACACAUGCAAGUCGAACGGAAAGGCCCUGCUUUUGUGGGGUGCUCGAGUGGCGAACGGGUGAGUAACACGUGAGUAACCUGCCCUUGACUUUGGGAUAACUUCAGGAAAUUGGGGCUAAUACCGGAUAGGAGCUCCUGCUGCAUGGUGGGGGUUGGAAAGUUUCGGCGGUUGGGGAUGGACUCGCGGCUUAUCAGCUUGUUGGUGGGGUAGUGGCUUACCAAGGCUUUGACGGGUAGCCGGCCUGAGAGGGUGACCGGCCACAUUGGGACUGAGAUACGGCCCAGACUCCUAAGGGAGGCAGCAGUGGGGAAUAUUGCACAAUGGGCGGAAGCCUGAUGCAGCAACGCCGCGUGCGGGAUGACGGCCUUCGGGUUGUAAACCGCUUUCGCCUGUGACGAAGCGUGAGUGACGGUAAUGGGUAAAGAAGCACCGGCUAACUACGUG